rnacentral:rRNA from 1 species
GACGUAGGAUGCAAGCGUUGUCCGGAUUUAUUGGGCGUAAAGAGUUCGUAGGUGGUUUGUUAAGUCUGAUGUUAAAGACUGGGGCUCAACCUCGGAAAUGCAUUGGAUACUGGCAGACUCGAGUGCAGUAGAGGCAAGUGGAAUUCCCAGUGUAGCGGUGAAAUGCGUAGAUAUUGGGAAGAACACCGGUGGCGCAAGCGACUUGCUGGGCUGUAACUGACGCUGAGGUACGAAAGCGUGGGGAGCAAACAGG